UGGUUGAGGAUAUUGUGGAUGAAACUGAGAAAUUUAACAGCAACAGAAAUGUCUUUUCUAAGAGUGAGAUUGGGACUUCUGUUGAAAUGCUGGAUGAAGAUGGGAUAGUCGAGUUGAAGAAAUUUAAGGGAAAGAUCGAAGAAGUCAGAGUUUUUGAGGGGGGCAGUUGGGCUGUUCAAUUUUU